rnacentral:rRNA from 1 species
AUUGAACGCUGGCGGCAGGCCUAACACAUGCAAGUCGAGCGGAUGAAGGGAGCUUGCUCCUGGAUUCAGCGGCGGACGGGUGAGUAAUGCCUAGGAAUCUGCCUGGUAGUGGGGGAUAACGUCCGGAAACGGGCGCUAAUACCGCAUACGUCCUGAGGGAGAAAGUGGGGGAUCUUCGGACCUCACGCUAUCAGAUGAGCCUAGGUCGGAUUAGCUAGUUGGUGGGGUAAAGGCCUACCAAGGCGACGAUCCGUAACUGGUCUGAGAGGAUGAUCAGUCACACUGGAACUGAGACACGGUCCAGACUCCUACGGGAGGCAGCAGUUGGGAAUAUUGGAAGAUGGGCGGAAGCCUGAUCCAGCCGUGCCGCGUGUGUGAAGAAGGUCUUCGGAUUGUAAAGCACUUUAAGUUGGGAGGAAGGGCAGUAAGUUAAUACCUUGCUGUGUUGACGUUACCAACAGAAUAAGCACCGGCUAACUUCGUG